rnacentral:lncRNA from 1 species
AUGCUAUACGUCUAUUUGUAAUUGUCUUGAAUGAGAGCUAUAUGAAAUAUUUGUGCUAGAACAUAGAUAAAUCUAGCUUCCUUUGUAUGUUUUAUACUGUAAAGAACUUAGAUUGUGUGCAUUUAAAUUAGAAUAUUGUUCUAGGAAGACACAGGGCUAUAGUCAGCUUGCACAUCUGCACAGUAGGAAUGGAAGGAACCAGCAUGUAAGUACUUAACAGGUAUUUGAUGUUG